CAAGUCGAACGGCAGCACGGGUGCUUGCACCUGGUGGCGAGUGGCGAACGGGUGAGUAACAUAUCGGAACGUAUCCAAUAAUGGGGGAUAACUAAUCGAAAGGUUGGCUAAUACCGCAUACGCCCUACGGGGGAAAGCAGGGGAUCUUCGGACCUUGCGUUAAUGGAGCGGCCGAUAUCUGAUUAGCUAGUUGGUGGGGUAAAGGCCCACCAAGGCGACGAUCAGUAGCUGGUCUGAGAGGACGACCAGCCACACUGGAACUGAGACACGGUCCAGACUCCUACGGGAGGCAGCAGUGGGGAAUUUUGGACAAUGGGCGCAAGCCUGAUCCAGCCAUUCCGCGUGAGUGAAGAAGGCCUUCGGGUUGUAAAGCUCUUUCGCAAGGGAAGAAAACUUAUCUUCGAAUAAAGGAUGAGGCUGACGGUACCUUGAUAAGAAGCACCGGCUAACUACGUGCCAGCAGCCGCGGUAAUACGUAGGGUGCGAGCGUUAAUCGGAAUUACUGGGCGUAAAGCGUGCGCAGGCGGUUUUGUAAGUCAGAUGUGAAAUCCCCGGGCUCAACCUGGGAACUGCGUUUGAAACUACAAGGCUAGAGUGUAGCAGAGGGGGGUAGAAUUCCACGUGUAGCAGUGAAAUGCGUAGAGAUGUGGAGGAAUACCAAUGGCGAAGGCAGCCCCCUGGGUUAACGCUGACGCUCAUGCACGAAAGCGUGGGGAGCAAACAGGAUUAGAUACCCUGGUAGUCCACGCCCUAAACGAUGUCUACUAGUUGUUGGGAGAGUAAAAUCUCUUAGUAACGCAGCUAACGCGUGAAGUAGACCGCCUGGGGAGUACGGUCGCAAGAUUAAACUCAAAGGA
rnacentral:rRNA from 1 species